rnacentral:tRNA from 2 species
GGGGAUAUAGCUCAGUUGGUUAGAGCGCUUCGUUCACAUCGAAGAGGUCAGGGGUUCGAGCCCCUUUAUCCCCACCA